AGACGUAGGGGGCGAGCGUUGUCCGGAAUUACUGGGCGUAAAGAGCACGUAGGCGGAUAAUUAAGUCAGAUGUGAAAGACCGCGGCCCAACCGCGGGGUUGCAUCUGAAACUGGAUAUCUUGAGGGCAGGAGAGGGCAGUGGAAUUCCUGGUGUAGCGGUGAAAUGCGUAGAAAUCAGGAGGAACACCAGUGGCGAAGGCGGCUGCCUGGACUGACCCUGACGCUGAGGUGCGAAAGCGUGGGUAGCAAACAGGAUUAGAUACCCUGGUAGUCCACGCUGUAAACGAUGGAUACUAGGUGUGGGAGGUAUCGACCCCUUCCGUGCCGCAGCUAACGCAAUAAGUAUCCCGCCUGGGGAGUACGGUCGCAAGGCUGAAACUCAAAUGAAUUGACGGGG
rnacentral:rRNA from 1 species